GACGGCAUGGAAGAACACCAGUAAGCCAGUGACUCAGCCCCUGUAAUAGGGUUAGAGGCAGAGAAUCCCAGUGGAGAGAGGGGAACCGGCCAGGCAGAGACAGCAAGGGCGGUUCGUUGCUCCUGCCUUUCUGUUCACCUUCACACCCCUGGGCCAGACUACACUUAAUCAUAGGACCUACUGAAGAGAUGAGUCUUCAGUAAAGACUUAAAGGUUGAGACUGAGUCUGCAUCUCUCACAUGGGUGGCGAAUCGCAUCUCUGCAUGUCUGGCAGACAUAUCAGUGUGGAUUUCGAAUCACCACCUCAAGCUGAACCUCGGCAAGACGGAGCUGCUCUUCCUCCCGGAGAAGGACUGCCCGUUCCAUGAUCUCGCCAUCACGGUUGACAACUCCAUUGUGUCCUCCUCCCAGAGUGCUAAGAGCCUUGGCGUGACCCUGGACAACACCCUGUCGUUCUCCGCUAAAAUCAAGGCGGUGACCUGAUCCUGUAGGUUCAUGCUCUACAACAUUCGCAGAGUACGACCCUGCCU
rnacentral:lncRNA from 1 species